AGCUUAGUGAGGAAGAUCUCAAAGGGGACCCUGGAUUAUUCUUGGAUUUUGUGUGUGGCUUUGUUCUCUUAUCACUGGUUCAGCUUGACUGAGAUGUUAUCCCCCCUACUGGUCCACAGAGCUCAAGAAGGCUACUAAGAGGGCCCAAGUGAGGAUGCCUCAAUCACCCUUGGGAGGGAGAAGAAAGAAAUCACAGGAACCUAUCAUGACUGCCCUCCAAAAGGCCCAACAAGCAGCU